rnacentral:tRNA from 1 species
CUGGGUGUGGCGUAGCUUGGUAGCGCGCUUGCAUGGGGUGCAAGAGGUCGGUGGUUCAAAUCCACUCACCCAGA